rnacentral:lncRNA from 1 species
AAAAAAAAAAGAAUAAAACUGGUGAAACAUUGUUAACACAAAUAAAAUAUAUGUCAUCGAUCUGAACUCCUACUGUUUCAAAAAUUGAGUUAAUUUGCUUGAACUGAGCUAAAAUGUUUACCCUUGCAUAAUCCCUGAGUAAAAGCAGAUCCGUGAUAUAGUAUAAACAUGAUUACAGAAAGAUGAUCAACCUAUUUAAGACAACAACUGACUUGUAAGUAAUCAUUUGAAGUAAUCCUUAAUUCGUUCAGGCAAUAUUUAUUAAGCAGCUAUAUGCGCUAAGCAUGGAUCUAGAAAUAUAAGGAUAUAUAAGGGAUAGCCACUACUUUUAAGGAAUUUGCCUUCUAAUAGAAAGGAAUACAAACAAGUAACAAGUAGAUACAAUAAUAUGUUAUAGUCGCCAGGAUAGCAGUCUUAGAGGGGACGGGGGUCGGGGUCGGGGAUGGAGGUGGGAGUGUAAUGGUCUUUUUACCUAUGAGAUUGGGAAUGAGGUAGAAAAGUCUUUAAAGAGAAAGUAACACUUGAACCAAAUCUCUGAAGUUAAGAAUGUGGUUGUGUGGGCCAAGUGGGUGGUAGGUAGCAUUAAGAUAUUUUUUAAGGCAUAAAGAGCAACAUGAUUCAGAGAUUUGAAAUAAUCCACCUGGUUAGCAGAAUUGUUUGGCAGGGGUAAAGCAUAGACUACCUACUGUGGGAAUGAAGUGAGAUAAGGCUGGAGUGGUGGGCAGGGGUCAGGGCAUGGAUGGCCUGGUACCAUGUACUAGAGGAAUUUGAACUUUAUCUUGUAGGUAGUAGAGAACCAGUGAAGGCCUUUAGGCAGGAUAAUAACAUCACUUCAUUUUACUGGUUUAUAAGCAAUGGAUUAAUGACGGAGCUAGAAGUAGACUGUUACAUACUCCAUAUAAGCAAAGUCAAGAUCCUGAACUAAGAACGUAGCAAUCAAGAUGAAGAGGAGGAAGACAGAUUAGAGAAGUGCUAGAAUCUGUAGGGCUUCCUAAUCAAUUGUAGAGGGAGCUAUGGUGAGAGGUAUGAGUAAGGAGAGAAGUCACAAUCUGAGAUAUAUUCAAGAGCCAGGCAAGUGUAUAUAAAUGAAUGAAAGGAGCUUCAGCAUCCUUUAUGGUCACUGUGAAGACUACAUGAACCAGGAGCUCAUCUGCUGCUCAUCUCCAGCCAGUUGUUCCAUGCAGGUAGGAUGAAGUGUUGCCUCAUCAUCUUCUGUUUUUUAAAGAGAAGCCUAAACCUGUAUUCUUAUGUGAAAUCUCCCAAAUCUUAAAUAUUGGCCCAAAGUUUUUAAAAGUACUUCCUGGACCAAAUAAAAACAAGUUUAGUAAAUAAGCAGGUUGCACCUCUGUUCUGGGGUGAUUCCUGGUUUCUACCUUAAAUGAUUAGAAGCAUGGUGCCUGCUAAGAGAGUAGAUCUCUCCAUAUGCUUAUAUGGAUAUGUUAAUUAGCUUGAUUGUGGAAAUUAUUUCACAAUGUAUACAUAUAUCAAAACAUCACAUUGUACACUUUGAAUAUAUACAAUUUUUGUCAAUUAUAUCUCUAUAAAGCUGGGGGAAAAAACAAGCAAAUAAAACCAUCAGGUUAAAAAAUAAGAAGUAUUGUGCUAUUCAGAUAUGAAUUAAAGGAGGAGAAGCAGUUCGAGAGGUGGCGUGGAGAACCUGAAGGAGCAUUCAGGGUUUGAGGUAGCUUAAUUAACAGGAAACUACAAAUGCAGGUCUGGAACACAAGAAAAGUAUGGACUGGAAAAUAAAGAUCUUGGAGUUGUCAGUAAAUAGAUGGUAGAUGGAACUGCUGGGAGUGAGUUUUGCCCAAGGAAAACAAUAUAGAAUGGGAUCAAAAGAGAACAAGGAACAGAAUCUUAGAGAACACUAUCAUUUAAGAGGCAGGUAGAGAAAGAGAAGCUAGCAAAGGACAAUAAGAAGUUGUCAGAGAAGUAGGGAAAGAACUAGAGAUAGGUCUUGUAAGUCCAGGGAGAUAAAUAUAUUUUAAGUGUCGGAUACCUUAAAGAAGUCAAAUAAGAAUGCAAUAAAAGAGGAGGAAGCAUGGAGGUGUGCGUGUGUGGGAGAGAGAUUAUGAGAUUAUUGUUGAUGCGCAAGGCUUAAAUGUUGACUAGUUGCUGAAGAUGAUAGGGACAAGAGGCAGAGUUGCAUUAUGUUAGAGAAUACAAUGCCAACUGAGAUCCCCUUGGUUCUGUUUUGUUUGUUUUUAGCAAACUUUAACCUUUGCUCUGCUCUCUCAAGUAGACUGUUACUGACAAGUGUUUCCAGUGUUUAUGAAGAAAACAAUCCCAGGCAGUUAAUAGGGAGAAUUAGCCAGCUUCCUAUAUGGCAAGCUCCUGAUAGAAUCAUAGAUGGUUGAAGUAGCAAGAAGGUCUUGAAUUUGCAUAAAGCAUUGGAUCUCAGUCUUGGUUACGUAUUAGAAUCAACUAUGGGGCUUAAAAAAAUACUGAUGCCCAGGCCCUGCUCCAAAUCAGUUAAAUCGGAAGCUCCAUGGCCCUGCUCCAAAUCAAUUAAAUCAGAAGCUAUUCCCAGUUGAUUCUAUUAUAUUUGCAAGAUUGAGAAUUACUGACCUAGUGGAACUGGAGUCACCCUGAACCACUUGGGAAAAAUGAUGCAACAAUACAGUUACUCCUUCAUUUAUAAUAAUAAUGAUAAUUGCUACUAUUAUUCAUAAACUAAAAUGUGCAAUAAGUACUACAUUACUUUCUCUAAUUGUUUAAAUUCUGUUUUGUGCCUAUAAUCCCACCUGACUGACAAAAAAAAGAGCAAUCCUUUAUGCCUCUGUCCUCCCCCAGUUAUUCUAGGUUCUGGUCCCUUACACCUGGCCAAGCUGUCAGGUAUUAUUAUGGCAUCUUGUUCAGCUAAUUAAGCAGUACAACUGAGACAAUUGCCACCCCAUUUGUCAUGUGUGGUGCCUUCCAAGAUAGCCCCCAGUGAUUCUCACCUCCUGAUAUUCACACCCUUGUGUUGUGUCCUCCCAUGUCAUACCAAGGUUGGUCUUUGUGAUAAAAUUCAGGGAAGUGAUGGUGUGUGACUUGUGACACUAGAUCCGAAAAGACACGGUGAUGUCUGACUUGUUCUCUUGGAUGUCUCUCCCUGAGUGAAGCCAGCUACUUUUCAUGAGGAUACUCAAGCAUUCCUAUGGAGAGAUCCACAUGGUGAGAAACUGAAGCCUCCUACCAAGAGCCAGCACCAACUUGCCAGCUAUGUGAAUGAGCCAUCUUAGAAGUGGGUUCUCUAGCCCUAGUCAGGCCUUCAUAUGACUGCAGCCAGGGCUGAUAUUUUGACUACAACCUCAUGAGAGACUGAGCCACAACAACCUAGCUAAGAAGCUCCUGAAUUCCCUACCAACAGAAACUAUAAGCACAGGAAUCCUGCUGUUUCAUGAAGCACUUGAGUAUGGAAAUUCUUGUGAGGUUGCCUCUGUCCCUGUUUGCCCCAACACACCAUGUAGUUAUUCCUUCACUGGACUUGCACCUUUCUACCAGUCUCUGCUCAGGAAGCAAAGCCUAAGUUUCCUCUUUUCCUAGAAAUACAGACCUAUUUGUAGACCUCCUGUUCUUCAUCUUCAGCCUGCAGAUAUUUUGUUUUUAUCUUGGGGAAAUUCUCCUCAUUUUUGGCCAUGAUACUUUGUACUUGAAUCUUCUCAACCUCUCCAGGACUUUCGGAAAUAAAAGGCAGAAAACUUACAAGCUUGUCUUCUUUCUACCAUGUUGUAAUGCCUCCCCUGAGACAGUGAACAAAAGGCUAGCUCUUUGAAUUUUGUGAGAUGUAGAAAGAAAGGGGAAAAUGAAGGGAGAAAAAAUGUGAAUAUCUCAAAAUACCAUCCUACCAGAAUUAUCAAUAUGUGAUGAGUGCUUACUGUGUGCCAGAUACUAUACCAAAUGCUUUACAUAUUUUUUCUCAUUAAGUACUAUUAUCAAGCUUAUUUUACAAACAAGAUGAUCAGAUUUAGAGAGAUUAAGUAAGUUGCCUGAAGUUUCACUGUUUCUAGAUGGUAAUGCUGAAAUUCUACCAGGAAUCUCUGACUCCCAGCUCCAACUUUUGACCAUUAGCAUGCAAGUUCUUUCCAUGUGGUUGGGGAGGGAAGAAGGUUGGUCUAAGGGUGCUUUCCUUUGGCUUCAUUUCUUCACAUAAAUGAGGAUGCCAAUCAUACCUAAGACUUGUCUGUCAUUAAUACAUUUCUGACAGUGGCUUCCACUUGGCAACACUUUGUAGGCGAGUGGACCUACUCUGUACACUUGAAAUGUUGAAAACUGCACUUCUUCUAAAAUACUGUUUGGAUCAAUCAUUUCAUUUAGUUAAGCAGGCCAUCUGUCUAUCCAGCAUGUUUUCCAAGUGCCUGUGCGUAGGUACCACGUAAAAUGCUGGGGACAUCAAGAUGAAUUCAACACUCACCAUGAGCUAUGUGUGUGGUGUUUAGAUGAAACAGACAUAAAAGCUAAUUACAGCAGUGAGAUAAGUUGUAUAUCUAAACAGCAUAUGAAUAUGUGUUCUGGAAUGCAGAAGAAAAGUACUAAUUUCAGCUUAGGUAUAUCAAGGAAAACUUCUCAGAGGUAAUAAGCCUUCAAGAAUGAGUAGAAAUUCACCAGUAGGACAUUCUGGACAGAGGAAGAGGCAUGGGCAAAAAUGCUUGGCAAUUUCAGAGAGGAGCACACAACUGAGAAUAAUUGGAGAGGAUGAUGUAUGUUUAUAGGAGCCAGAUAAUGAAGAUACUUGUUCUACUAUGCUAACAAGUUAAAAUAAUUAAAACUCUCACCCCACAGGAGGAAUCUUGCCCACAAAUAUUCUUUGUUUGAUGUAGGUUUUUUUUUCUUGAAUUUGAAUGUCUUUAAAAAGACGUACAUUCUCUAGUCUUCUGUCUCCUCAGGCUCACCCCUCCAUAUUUAGGUUACCUAGCUAUCCCUGCAGACAUUUGAGCUUACUCCCCCUGCUGCAGCAAUGGGGAGUCACGGAAGAUUAUCUUUGUUUAUAGGAGCCAGAUAAUGAAGAUACUUGUUCUACUAUGCUAACAAGUUAAAAUAAUUAAAACUCUCACCCCACAGGAGGAAUCUUGCCCACAAAUAUUCUUUGUUUGAUGUAGGUUUUUUUUUCUUGAAUUUGAAUGUCUUUAAAAAGACGUACAUUCUCUAGUCUUCUGUCUCCUCAGGCUCACCCCUCCAUAUUUAGGUUACCUAGCUAUCCCUGCAGACAUUUGAGCUUACUCCCCCUGCUGCAGCAAUGGGGAGUCAUGGAAGAUUAUCUUAAGGUGGAGUUAACAUGAACGUAUUUGCUCUUUCAGAGACCAUUCUGGCUUACUGUGGAGGAUAAAUGGUGAGGCCAAUUGGGAAGGGAUGGUACAAGAUAUAGAAAUGUCUUAGCUCGGGCUGCCUUAACCAAAUGCCAUAGCCUGGGUGGCUUAAACUCAGACAUUUAUUUUUCAUUAUUCUGGAAGCUGGAAAGUCCAAGAUCAAGGCACAAGCAGAUUCAAUUCUUGGUGAGGGCUUUCUUCCUGGCUUGUAGAUGGCCACCUUCUUACUGUAUCCUUAAAGAGAGAAGGAGCUCUGGUUUCCCUUCCUCUUCUUAUAAGGGCACUAAUCCUAUCAUGGGGCCUCCACCCUCAUGACUUCAUCUAAACCUAAUUACUUGCCAAAGGCCCCACCUCCUCAUACCAUCACAAUGGGGGUUGGAGUUUCAGCAUAUGAAUUUUGAGGGGAAUACAAACAUUCAAGCUAUAAAAAGCGACUUACUGGGUGAAGAGGCUGAGAGGGAGGACUCAUGAUUCUCAGUUUCCCACUGAAUGAACGGUGGUUCCAUUAACUCCAAAUGGAUAGCACAAGAGGUUUUAUUCUAUAUGUUUAUAUGAAGUUGUAAAAUUUCUUAGGAAGGAUUGUGGAGCAAUUGCUAAAAUCCACUUAAUGUCUAUUGGAAGUACCUAGAUGAAGUUCACCAGGAGACCUUUCAAAAGUGUCUCAAAUGUUCCUAUAAAUAUUGUGACAUAUUUAUGUCAUAAAUCAGGAUACAUGGUAGGACAUGUUGGGCAUUAAUAACAGACAUAAUAUUUAAAAUGGGAACUGUUCUGAAAAAUCAGGAGUGUAUGGUCACUGGAUAUAAAAAUUACUUUGUUGUCUCAUCUAGGUUCUCUUUUAUCAAAGGUCCCUCUGAAUAAAAAUACUAUCGUUAGAAUGUACAUGUUUAAAUAAACACGUCUCAAGUACAGCUAAUCGAUCUAUGGGUAUUUCCUCAUUUUCAUCUUCAAUAAUAAUUUCAAACUCCCUACCAUACUUUUCUACAGAGCUAUUAAUAGGAAGCUUCCAUCAGCUAACUUGAGUUUCCUCUCAUUUUCCCAGCUGACAUUCACUGGAGGUAUUAAUGGGAAAUAUAAUGUCUAAAAGACAUAGGUAGUCUUCAAAUUGGAUACUCAGGCACUGAAUAAUCUUAACUUCAUGAAAAUCAGCUCUUCAUUCUGUAAAGUAUCUAGCACACUCAAAAUGUAGAGUACAUAUAGGAGGGAAAACCAUAGCGUGGCAAUGUCUUCCUGUUAUUCCAUACAUAUUAGUGUGUUCUAUUUUUCACAAUGCUUGCUAAACUGGUUUUAUGCUUGAAAUAAUUGUCACAGAGUUUCACAAAACUUUGGAAACACAAUUAACCCACCAAUAAAUUGAGUGGGAUACUAUGGAGAAUGCAAAGAUGUAUAAGACAUGAUUUCCUUUAGGUGUUUAAUACUUAAUAGAGGAAAUAAGACACAUUCAUGAAAAAGAUAAUAACAUAAGCUACUAUGUGAUGUCAAACAAUAGUUCUUUUUUUCAUAUCUAUGAAUUCAUUAGAGACGAGAAAAAAAUUUCACAAAAAGUUGGCAUUUACAAUGUAAUGAAAGAAGCAUGACCUCUAAAAUACAA